rfam:Apaloderma vittatum contig55836, whole genome shotgun sequence.
GUCAGGAUGGCCGAGUGGUCUAAGGCGCCAGACUCAAGGCGUUCUGCGCCUUCCCGUGGCGAGUUGGGUGUUCUGGUCUCCGAAUGGAGGCGUGGGUUCGAAUCCCACUUCUGACA